rnacentral:rRNA from 1 species
UUUUGUUUUUUUGGGCGUUCGGUGGAUGCCUUGGCAUCAGGGGCCGAUGAAGGACGUGGUGGCCUGCGAUAUUCCUCGGGGAGCCGGCUGGCGGGCUGUGAUCCGAGGGUUUCCGAAUGGGGGGACCCGGCACGAGUUAUGUCGUGUCACCUGCAUCUGAAUUGUAUAGGGUGUGGGGGGUGACGCGGGGAAGUGAAACAUCUUAGUACCCGUAGGAGAAGAUAUUCCGUGAGUAGUGGCGAGCGAAAGCGGAUGAUGGUUAAACCGUGUGCGUGUGAUACUCGGCAGGGGUUGCGUGUGCGGGGUUGUGGGGCUGUCCUGUUUCUCUUCUGCCGGAGAGGGGGCGCGUGUGCUGGCCGGUAGCUGAAUCGUCUGGGAAGGCGUGGCGUAGUGGGUGAUACCCCCGUAGGCGGAACUGGUUGGUGCGUGUCUGGGAUGGUUUGCCCGAGUAGCACGGGGCUCGUGGAAUCCUGUGUGAAUCUGCCAAGACCACUUGGCUGCCUGAAUACCUCCUGAUGACCGAUAGUGGAUAGUACCGUGAGGGAAUGGUGAAAAGUACCCCGGGAGGGGAGUGAAAUAGUACCUGAAACCGGGCGCUUACAAGCCGUCAAAGCCCUUUUUUGGGGGUGAUGGCGUGCCUAUUGAAGAAUGAGCCUGCGAGUUAGUGGCGUGUCGCGAGGUUAACCCGUGUGGGGGAUCCGUAGCGAAAGCGAGUCUGAAAGGGCGCGCAGUGGCACGUUCUAGACCCGAAGCGGGGUGAUCUACCCAUGGCCAGGUUGAAGCACGUGUAAGAGCGUGUGGAGGACCGAACCCACCUAGGUUGAAAACUGGGGGGAUGAGCUGUGGGUAGGGGUGAAAGGCCAAUCAAACUCCGUGAUAGCUGGUUCUCCCCGAAAUGCAUUUAGGUGCAGCGUUGCGUGGUUCCGGGCGGGGGUAGAGCUACUGGAUGGCUGAUGGGCCUUACAGGGUUACUGACGUCAACCAAACUCCGAAUACCGUCCGGGUAUAGCGUGGCAGUGAGACAGCGGGGGAUAAGCUCCGUUGUCGAGAGGGAAACAGCCCAGAUCGCCGGCUAAGGCCCCUAAGCGUGUGCUAAGUGGGAAAGGAUGUGCGGUCGCGCAGACAACCAGGAGGUUGGCUUAGAAGCAGCCAUCCUUGAAAGAGUGCGUAAUAGCUCACUGGUCAAGUGAUCGUGCGCCGACAAUGUAGCGGGGCUCAAGCACACCGCCGAAGCCGCGGACCCAUGACGUUGUUCCUUUCACUGUCCCGUCUUGUGCGGGUGGUGGCAGGGGUUGUGGGUGGUAGGGGAGCGUCCUGCACCGGGGGAAGCCUGUGGGUGACUGCUGGUGGACGGUGCGGGAGUGAGAAUGCAGGCAUGAGUAGCGAUACUAGGGUGAGAAGCCCUAGCGCCGAAUGACCAAGGGUUCCAGGGCCAGGCUAGUCCGCCCUGGGUGAGUCGGGACCUAAGGCGAGGCCGACAGGCGUAGUCGAUGGAUGACGGGUUGAUAUUCCCGUACCGGUCUGGUACCGACCGUGCUGACGUGCGGGUGCUAACCCACGCUGUCGGCCGUGGUGUCCUGCCGGGUGCCUUCGGGUGCCCUGGUGGGUCCGUGGCGGGUGGUCUGGGGGUCCUCCGUGCUGGUAGGCAAGCGUGUUAACAGGGGUGACGCACAGUGGUAGCCCGGCGGGUCUGAUGGCUUGGCCCGUUCAAGCGUGCGGCCCGGUCCCCAGGCAAGUCCGGGGGCCUGCCCCCACCGCCUGCUGGUGGUGGGGGUGUGGGUGAGGCGUGAUGGUGACCCUGCCUGUUGGGGUGGGGGAUAUCAGGGUGAUCCUGGGGUGCCGAGAAAAGCCCCGACGCGAUGGUGCGGGCCGCCCGUACCCGAGACCGACACAGGUGGUCCGGCAGAGUAUGCCUAGGCGAGCGAGCUAACCGUGGUGAAGGAACUCGGCAAACUGCCCCCGUAACUUCGGGAGAAGGGGGGCCCGGGCCCUGAAGCAGCGUGCCUGCUAGGGGUGAGGGCCGCAGAGAGCAGGGGGGAGCGACUGUUUACUAAAAACACAGGUCCGUGCGAAGCCGCAAGGCGAUGUAUACGGACUGACGCCUGCCCGGUGCUGGAAGGUCAAGAGGACCCGUCAGCCCCCCUUCGCGGGGGCGAAGCGGUGAAUUCAAGCCCCAGUGAACGGCGGUGGUAACUAUAACCAUCCUAAGGUAGCGAAAUUCCUUGUCGGGUAAG